CCCGGGGAUGGGCAGGUCGUCACUGCUCCCCUGCCUCCUCAGACACUGGAUGUUAAAUGAAGGUUUCCGACCUGACGGACGACAGAGAAACAAAUGCACCCAGUCAGUGAUGAUGUCACUGUGUCAGCUCAGCUGUGAUUGGUUCAGACUUGAUCAAAGUUUACUGUUAUAUUUAAAGACGUAACUGUGACAUCACAGAAUGCUUUCAGAUAGCAGGGAGGAUUAUGGGAUUCCAUCUCACCUGUGGGUGUGGCAGGAAGUAGGCGUCUCCGGGUCGUCCUCCUGCCUUUGCUGUAGCCGUUGCCAUAGCAGCUGUUGGAGUACGGGUUGUGGCUGUCGUACUGGUCUCUGUACAGAGGAGGCUCAUCGGGGUAAUUUCUGAAAACACAGACAGGAUUUAGGACAGGUGCACAGGUCUGCCUGUCCAUCAGUUUACCUGUCUGUCUACCUGUCUGUCUAUAUACCUGUCUCUGGAGGUGAUGCUGUCGUUGUCUUCCUCUCUGCUGUAGUAACCCUGCUCUCCAUACACCUCCGUGUCCCCGUUCCUCCAGUAUCUGUCCCUUGAGUCCCUCCUGCAGAACAGUGAGACUGUGAUUGGCUGAGGCACCUGUCAGUCAAGACGAACCGGAACCCAAACAUCCUGUUUAAGCCUGAACCCCUUCUUGUUAAAUCCUUUGUAUCCAGAGCUGAACCUGUUGAAAACUGUCCUGACUGUGUGUUACAGCAGCACCUGCUGGACAGUAGAAGAACUGCAGUGAGGCGCUGCAGCACCUGUGUGGGAACCUUUCAGUUAAACAUCACAUUCGGUUUGUUCAUUGCUCCGAAGCAAAGUCCUGUGUUCUGGGUUUGUAGUGCGACGCGUACCUUCCAUGUUUGCUGUAUGAUGGUCUCUUAUGGGCAUGGUCCAGCAGGCCGUUCUUCACUGACGGGUGGCGGUGGUGAUGAUGAUUGACAGAUGACCUCAUCUUGUCUCCACGGUGAAGAUGUUCGUCGUGUUCGCUGCCAUUCGGCAUCUUGGUGAGAGAACCGACCCGGUGGAUCAGACCUCCGUUAGAUACGCCUCCGUCCCCAAUGACACCACCAGGACCUGCAGACGGGACAGACGGCGGCAGCGGCGUGGGAGUAUUAUUCAGAAUAUGACUCUCACACUGGAACACAAGUCUUUCUUCUCUGUUCGCUGAUGUUUGUGUGUUAACUGAUUCACCCUACAGGUCAUUUCCACCCCUCCAAAAACAAAAUACUUUUCUUCUUCAUUAGUUUUUUAUUCUCAGAAUAAUUUUGACUUUAGAGGUCAGAGGUGAAAAUGGGUUUCUGUAUAUUUUCUCGUGUCUUCUGUCUGAUGUUUCUCUGUAAAUGUGUGUGUGGUUUUGUGGGUUUGUGUCGGCUCAUGAUAAGGUCACAUGAUGUGUUGUUGUUUACCAGUGGGCGUGGUCAGUGCGGAGCCUCGUCGAUCUUUCUCUGGUCCAAACCCGUUGUCGCCCUGCAGAGAGAACCAGACGUCAGAUGCUGCUUGUGACCUCUCGCUUCACUUCACAGGACGACUGGUGUUUUUACAGUGUGUUCAUAAAGACCCUGUAUGCAGCAUUCUCCUCCAGCUCUCCAUCCUCCAUCAUGGCCUCCUCCUCCUCCUCCAGGUCCUCGUUCAGAGCCAGACGCAUCUCUGGACCAAGAUCCUGCAGAGUCUUCAGACCGGCUUUACACAGCUAUAAACAUACAACAUGGUUUUCAGUUUCUCCUGAAGCUCAGAGCUCUGAUAUGAAAGACUUCACCUCACAGGAUCAAUAACCAUAUCAAUAACUGCACACGUGUUGUUUCAUCAUGUGUGUUCAGACAGACAGACCUGGACAGCAGACGGGUUGGUGGAGUCGGACUCUCCGGUCAAAGCUCCUUUUUCCUUCCUCUUCCUGAACUUCCUGAAGUAAUCCUGGAUCAGGAACGUGGCGUAGAACUUCCCAACGGUCACUUCCUCCUCUGCAGGAGGAAACAGGACAGGUGACUGAUUUCAGCUGUAAAUACAGGAGCUGUUCAUCCACAGACAGGGUACACAGCACGAAGAAGAAGAAGACGACAGCAGCUGAACAUGGAUGUCAACAGUGAUGGGUUCAGUGUUAUUUAUGUAGCUCCUCCCACAAUCAAAAUGGUCUCAAAGCGCUUCACAGAAACCCAGACCCUGAUUCGAAAAAAAUCGUGUUUCUGACGAAGGAGAUGAACCUGUUCACUCGCUGGUUUGAGCUCACGGAUUCACACACACACACACACAGACACACACACACACACACACACACUUUUCUUUCUGUCUUUCUGGCUCUGACGCGUCACAUGUCUGUUUGAUACAGAUCCACAUCACUUCUGAUCCUACAAACUGAUCUGGGACAGGCGCCUGGGAAAUGUGGCAGUGUAAUGAGGGUCUGUCCUGAUCCAGCUCUGCCUCGUCCACUCAGACGUGUGAGGUGUCUGCGAUGUGUGUUACCUUGAGUCCUUUGGCUCUGUUGAUGGCUCUCAGAGGCCUGAGCACCCUGAGGACUCGGAGGAUCUUCACCACCGAGAUGGCACUGGAGCUGCAGACGCAAACACACAGCAGGAAGAAGGAGACCAGUGAGACGCUGACGACCAGGAGAUCCAGCAGGUUAAACCAGUUCCUGCAGAACGAGCCCUGAUGGAGGAACGCUCCAUGGACCGUCAUCUGGCACACAGGGAGACGAUGUUAGCAUCAGAUGGAGAGCAGAAAGACUCGGCCGGUUCGUCCUAACUGAAGCAGAUUUUUUACCUUUAACAGGAUCUCCACAGUGAAGAUGGAGGUGAAGGCGUAGUCUGCAUAACCCAGAAUCUACAAACACAAACACACUGAGCGUAAACACACACUGAGCGUGCAGAAGGAAAACAAGCUCUGCUCCAGGUGAUCCACACUAACAUGGAGGGUCAGGAUCAGUGAGUCUCACGUCCUGACAGCUUCAGCGUCUCGUCUGAGGCAGCGAACAGAAAACAUGAAAUCAUCCAAAGGAAAACGAGGAAUUCUGACUGUGGCUUCAGCUCGUCCUCUGAUCGUCCUCAGAAACUCAGUUGUCCACAGCAAUGGCCAAGAAGACGUUCAGCAGGAUGUCUGACAUACGCUAAGGACACGCAACAACGUUCAACACUGUACGGAACAAAAGCUCAUGCUAGGACGUUUUCACUGAUCACUCGGCUCCGUGGCUUUCUGAUGGAUGUUCCUGUUCCUGAACGCCUCACGGGCCAGUGAAGGAUACAGUUACCGCAGAUGAAGAGGAUGACGAAGUACACGCAGACGAUCAUCCCCGGGAACACGGGGCCUCCGUACGCCAUGAUGCCGUCAUACAUGACCACGUUCCAGUCCUCGCCUGUCAGGAUCUGAACACAGAGUCAGCAUCAGUGACACACCUCCUACAUGCUCUGACAUCACCGAUCAGCUGUGUCAUUGGUCACAUGACAGAUCUGAUUAAAGGGGCGGAGCCUUCCCUUCCUUGUUUCUGGCUGCAGGAAUAUCUGAGCUGUGUGAACGGAUUCAGUGUCUCACAAUCUAAUCAAUCAAUCGAUUUCUAAUAACUGAUCAGAACCAGUCACAUGUUCACACAGCUGUUUUCAGUCUCACUGACACUUAAGUUGUCAUCAGAAAGAGACAGUGGGACAAAUUUGUCCAUCUUGGUCCAAGUUGGACCGAGCGGUGUCUGGAGCCCUGAGCUUCAGGCCGGGGGCGUUACCUGGAAGCAGGUGAGAAGCGCCUGAGGGAAGGCGUCGAAGGUGCUGCGUUUGGUCUGCGUCUCGUCAAAGUUGAACUUUCCUCCGAACAGCUGCAUGCCGAGCAGAGCGAAGAUGAUGAGGAAGAGGAAGAGGAGGAGCAGGAGGGAGGCGAUGGACUUCAUGGAGUUCAGUAGGGACGCCACCAGAUUGGACAGAGCCGUCCAAUGGCUGAGCAGAGACAGAGUGACAUCAGAGGGGGUGAUGAGCUGAACUGACAGUGUUUAACACCUGAACUGUGACGACAGGGACACGUCUGCUGCGAUCGCCUGGUCCAGGCGUGUUCUCUCACCGCGUGACCUUGAAGAUCCUCAGCAGGCGGACGCAGCGCAGCACGGAGAUCCCCAGAGGAGGCAUGAUCUCCAGCUCCACCAGGAUGGUCUCCAUGAUGCCGCCACACACCACGAAGCAGUCGAAGCGGUUGAAGAACGCCACGAAGUAAUGAGCCAGACCCAGACUGUACAUCUUCAGCAGCAUCUCCACCGUGAACAGAGACAGCAGCACCUUGUUGGCGAUGUCUGCAGAGACACAGAGGACAGCCGUCUUUCAUUUCUCUGUUUUAGUGAUGUGAUCACACUGGUCAAAUAUACACACAGGGUCACUCAUCACAGUGGACGGUGUCCGAUGUGGGACAAAGCUUGGUUUGGUUAAAUCUACAGACGUAGCUUCGACUUUUCUGGAAGCUUCUGACACAGAGUCCUGCACAGUGACACGCUGUCUCCGUCUCCGUCUCCUCAGCCGUCAAAUAAACCACUGUGUGAGAUGAUUAUGUGAAAUGAUCCGCAGACUGGUUACACUGUGUGCGUGUGCGUGCGUGUGUUGGUACCCUGGACUUGUGUCAGCCAGUCGGGUUGGUUGUAGUGCUCGGAGGCGCUGAGAGAAGUGUUGAGGAAGACGAGCAGCAGAACCAGCCAAUAAAACGUCACCGAUUUGACGGCAGUGCGACAGUUUCUGCGACAGACACGAUUCCACCGACGCAGCGUCCGACUGACAGAGAGAGAGACAGGAAGUGAAGUGUGUGUUUAACACAGAGUGAACUGAUCUUUUCCUGAAUGUCUGACAGUCAGUGAACUCACCAGCAGCUGAUCUUCAUCAUCCGAGCGCUGAAAGGAGACGGACAGGCGUCAGUUUCCUGUCUGAAGCCUGACCAGUCACGGUCCAGUAACCAGAAUAACUGAGCCCCCACCCCCACCCUCACCCCCCCGUGCACACACACACACGCAUGUGUGUGCGCACACACGCACACACACCACCAAUAUCUGCUCUUAGUCUGAACACACACCAGCACCAGGUUAGUCUGUGAACCAGUUUCACACACGAAGGCCUGAUGGAUUCAGGAACGUGUGUGUGUGCCCGUGUGUGUGUGUGUGUGUGCGCGUGUGUGUGUGCGCGUGUGUUACCAGCAGGCCUGGCAGCAGUUGGUGUGUUCCUCAUCAAUGUUUUCAGUGUUUUCAGAAGCUGUUUCACUGGCAGGAAGACUGGCUGAGAGACAGACAGACAGAGAUACAGACAGAGACAGAGAGACAGACAGAGAGAGACAGACAGUAAAAUCCUGAUUAGAAACAGGGUCAGACACAGACCCAGAUAUUUUACAGGGACACAGUGAAGAUUUCCACAUUUAGACCGAAAGAGAAAUGAACCAGCUGUGUGUGCGUGUGUGUGUGCGCACGUGUGUGCGCGCGUGUGUGUGCGUGCGUGCGUGUGUGAGUGAGUGUGUGUGUGUGU